GUGGCCUCGAAGGAUAGAACGCUAGCGGCAGGCUUAACACAUGCAAGUCGAGGGGUAUAGUAGCAAUACUAGAGACCGGCGCGACGGGUGCGUAACGCGUAUGCAACCUACCUUUACAGAGGGAUAGCCCAGAGUAAAUUUGGAUUAAUACCUCAUAGUGUUAUUAGAUGGCAUCAUUUGAUAACUAAAGUUCCAACGGUAAAAGAUGGGCAUGCGUCCUAUUAGCUAGAUGGUAAGGUAACGGCUUACCAUGGCUACGAUAGGUAGGGGUCCUGAGAGGGAGAUCCCCCACACUGGUACUGAGACACGGACCAGACUCCUACGGGAGGCAGCAGUGAGGAAUAUUGGACAAUGGGCGCAAGCCUGAUCCAGCCAUGCCGCGUGCAGGAAGAAGCAUCUAUGGUGUGUAAACUGCUUUUGUACGGGAAGAAACACUCCUACGUGUAGGAGCUUGACGGUACCGUAAGAAUAAGGAUCGGCUAACUCCGUG
rnacentral:rRNA from 1 species